GGCACCAACGGCUGAUGUCGCGGCAAACGCCAAUCAUUCUGCAUAGCAACGAUGACGUCAAUGGACCCUGGACCAACCAGACGAAGACAACUCUAUACUUCCUCUUUGAAAAAUUGUAUAAGACUGGGUCAGAUAGUUUUGUUCGGUCAACACUAUCUCUGCUAAGGCUAAAAUAGGCAUACCUGCUAGAGGACAGACUCCUCUGUCAGGAAUAAAUUGAUUGGCUUUUAACACGUCGUUAUAAUCGUAGUUCUUUCACGAAAAGAACAUGCUCGGAACCUUGAGAGUUAAUUGGUGAUUUUAAAAACACAGGUUCCUUUAGUUUCCAUUGUCCUCGGGCGCCUCUGGUGCCACCACAUGCGCGAACGCCCGCCGCAACCAAGCCGGCGGGGUUCUCGAUCAAAGAAGGCUUUGAUGCGGCUUUGAUCGUUUUUCCUAGCCACGAUCGGUCGGCGGGACCUCAGCGAGCAACUACCGGCAUCCUGUACCAGUCCUGCACGCAUCUGAGGGCCAGUGCUCAGCCCACCACCAAUUCAAACGGCAGGAAAGUUAUGAGUGCAUCCAAACGGGACCACAACUUUCCUUUUCUUGUUUUUAUUUUUGUGCAUCUUUUUCCUCCAACCAAACCUGCUUCGUUUCUGCCUGAGGUGCGGAGGAAGACCACUCCCCAAAGACCAGCUGAUCAGCAUUCCUCUUUCUCCUGCUCCACCUCGUCCACGCGAUCCUGCAACUAUUGGCGGGAGAGGCGUGAGCGGUAGCGGCGGCGCGAGGGGCCAGUGCAGUUCACCCACCUGCUGCGUCUUGGCGUGCGCCAGCUGCGCCGUCUGCAGCUGCGUCCUGAUCUCCACGCCCUUGGCACGCUCAUCCCUCAGCUGCGACAUCAGCUCAGCCAUCUUGGCUGCGGCAGUGUCGUAACACGCCUUCUGCGUGUGCUGACUCUGCAAAACACGUCAGGCGUCACACCACGCUGCCGCACGGGCCGCCGGCAACCAUUUUGCUUGAAAAUUGGACGUUUGAGGAGACGGAACGAUCGAGAGACGGGAAAACGAAGCUUUUGUGAAGCGCUGAUGAUGGUUUGGAAAAUGCCGUCAUUACGUGGGUCGGUUUCAGUAGCAGCAGGACAAGAUUUUCAACUGAAACUUGUCAACCAAUCGGAGAAGGGCUUCCAUGAGCCGAAAUGAGACGGUCGAGGACAAAUGAUCAAGUUCUACCAUUUUACUCCAAUUUGAAGGCGUUUUUUGGACUGGAUAUUCUUUAGGCGAUAUCACAUAAACUCAAUUUGUCCACAAGCCAUCAUCCGAUUUUCAAAAUUCUUGCUGCGCUGUAAUCAAGCUGAAGUGGCUAUUCCAACGACAAACAGCAUUUUGACAGACGUUCAUUUUUGGCAAAUCUUGUCACUGGUGGUUCAACAUAUAAAUGCCAUAAUUCAUAUAUACAUACACAUAUAUAUAUAUAUAUAUAUAUAUAUAUAUAUAUAUAUAUAUAUAUAUAUACAUA